CGCUUCCAAAGGAUAACAGCUCAUCCGUUGGUCUUAGGAACCAAAACUCCUUGGUGCAAUCCAAGUGGAAGCU
rnacentral:tRNA from 1 species